ensembl:snRNA U6 U6 spliceosomal RNA
GUGCUCGCUUCGGCAGCACAUACACUAAAAUUGGAACGAUGCAGAGAUUAGCAUGGCCCCUACACAAGGAUGACACUCAAAUUUGUGACGCAUUCCAGAUUUUU